AUUGAACGCUGGCGGCAUGCUUUACACAUGCAAGUCGAACGGCAGCGCGGGCUUCGGCCUGGCGGCGAGUGGCGAACGGGUGAGUAAUGCAUCGGAACGUGCCCAGUAGUGGGGGAUAGCCCGGCGAAAGCCAGAUUAAUACCGCAUACGACCUGAGGGUGAAAGCGGGGGACCGAAAGGCCUCGCGCUAUUGGAGCGGCCGAUGUCGGAUUAGCUAGUUGGUGGGGUAAGGGCUUACCAAGGCGACGAUCCGUAGCUGGUCUGAGAGGACGACCAGCCACACUGGGACUGAGACACGGCCCAGACUCCUACGGGAGGCAGCAGUGGGGAAUUUUGGACAAUGGGGGCAACCCUGAUCCAGCCAUGCCGCGUGCGGGAAGAAGGCCUUCGGGUUGUAAACCGCUUUUGUUCGGGAAGAAAUCCUCUGGGCUAAUACCCCGGGGGAUGACGGUACCGGAAGAAUAAGCACCGGCUAACUACGUG
rnacentral:rRNA from 1 species